rnacentral:rRNA from 1 species
AUUGAACGCUGGCGGCAGGCCUAACACAUGCAAGUCGAGCGAGCGGCGGACGGGUGAGUAAUGUCUGGGGACUGCCCGAUAGAGGGGGAUAAAUACUGGAAACGGUGGCUAAUAACGCAUCCUAUCGGUUAACCCAUAUGGGAUUAGCUAGUAGGGGGGGGAAAGGCUCACCUAGGCGGCGAUCUCUAGCUGGUCUGAGAGGAUGAUGAGCCAAAUUGGGACUGAGAAACGUCCCAGACUCCAACGGAGGCAUCAGUGGGAAAUAUUGCACAAUGGGCGCAAGCCUGAUGCAGCCAUGCCGCGUGUAGGAAGAAGGCCUUAGGGUUGUAAAGUACUUUCAGCGGGGAGGCGUUACCCGCAGAAGAAGCACCGGCUAACUCCGUGCCAGCAGCCGCGGUAAUUC